AGAAGCUGGAAAGUUAGAAACUAGAUUUGUCUCCUUGGAAGCUGCGUUUGGGGAUGUAAUUUCACAAAGCGGAUGCGUUUCUGCAAGAUUUGGAAGAUGAAGGAGAAGUAAAGGCUGAACUGCAGUUGCUGUUGCAUCACCUGGAAGUGGUAUCUUCCUGAUCCCGUGUCAUUCUUACUGUCAGCUUCCCAAGGGUGGCGGCACUGGCUUGGUUCUGGGGUCAGCAGAUGGAGCGGCACUUUCACAAAUUGACAGAUAGCCUCUGGAUUGUAAGGGUAGAAGAUCUCCUGCUUUGGAAACACCACUCUUAUAUUUAGUCACACAUCUCUUCAACUGGGUCCUCCCAGUGAGGGCACCUAAUGGCUGAGGUGGAAACCCUGGUAGCAUAGUGGUUAAGUGCUACGGCU